rnacentral:rRNA from 1 species
CACGACUACAUUAGAUACCCCCGUAGUCCUAGCCGUAAACGAUACUCGCUAGGUGUCGGCCACGGUGCGACCGUUGUCGGUGCCGUAGGGAAGCCGUGAAGCGAGCCACCUGGGAAGUACGGCCGCAAGGCUGAAACUUAAAGGAAUUGGCGGGGAGCACCACAACGGGUGGAGCUUGCGGUUUAAUUGGACUCAACGCCGGGAAGCUCACCGGAUAGGACAGCAGAAUGAUUGCCGGGCUGAAGACCCUGCAUGACUAGCUG